AUUGAACGCUGGCGGCAUGCUUUACACAUGCAAGUCGAACGGUAACAGGCCGCAAGGUGCUGACGAGUGGCGAACGGGUGAGUAAUGCAUCGGAACGUGCCCAGUCGUGGGGGAUAACGCAGCGAAAGCUGCGCUAAUACCGCAUACGAUCUAUGGAUGAAAGCGGGGGACCGAAAGGCCUCGCGCGAUUGGAGCGGCCGAUGUCAGAUUAGGUAGUUGGUGGGGUAAAGGCUCACCAAGCCAACGAUCUGUAGCUGGUCUGAGAGGACGACCACCCACGCGUGGACUGAGGCACGGCCCCGGCUCGUACGGGAGGCAGCAGUGGGGAAUUUUGGACAAUGGGCGCAAGCCUGAUCCAGCAAUGCCGCGUGCAGGAAGAAGGCCUUCGGGUUGUAAACUGCUUCUGUACGGAACGAAACGGUCCGGGUUAAUACCCUGGGCUAAUGACGGUACCGUAAGAAUAAGCACCGGCUAACUACGUGCCAGCCGCCGCGGUAACAC
rnacentral:rRNA from 1 species